UACGUAGGGGGCGAGCGUUGUCCGGAGUUACUGGGCGUAAAGGGCAUGCAGGCGGUCGGACGCGUUUCGGGUGACAGCGGGUGGCUUAACUACCCGAGUGGUCGAAAGACGGUUUGACUUGAGGACGCGAGAGGGACACGGAAUUCCGGGUGGAGUGGUGAAAUGCGUAGAGAUCGGAAAGAACACCAACGGCGAAAGCACUCUGCUGGG
rnacentral:rRNA from 1 species